rnacentral:hammerhead_ribozyme from 1 species
AUCCAACUGACGAGUCCCAAAUAGGACGAAACGCGCGUCAAACUAGAU